rnacentral:rRNA from 1 species
GAUGAACGCUGGCGGCGUGCCUAAUACAUGCAAGUCGAGCGAACAGACGAGGAGCUUGUUCCUCUGACGUUAGCGGCGGACGGGUGAGUAACACGUGGAUAACCUACUUAUAAGACUGGGAUAACUUCGGGAAACCGGAGCUAAUACCGGAUAAUAUAUUGAACCGCAUGGUUCAAUAGUGAAAGACGGUUUUGCUGUCACUUAUAGAUGGAUCCGCGCCGCAUUAGCUAGUUGGUAAGGUAACGGCUUACCAAGGCGACGAUGCGUAGCCGACCUGAGAGGGUGAUCGGCCACACUGGAACUGAGACACGGUCCAGACUCCUACGGGAGGCAGCAGUAGGGAAUCUUCCGCAAUGGGCGAAAGCCUGACGGAGCAACGCCGCGUGGGUGAUGAAGGUCUUCGGAUCGUAAAACUCUGUUAUUGGGGAAGAACAGAUGUGUAAGUAACUAUGCACGUCUUGACGGUACCUAAUCAGAAAGCAACGGCUAACUACGUG